rnacentral:rRNA from 1 species
CCUACGGGAGGCAGCAGUAAGGAAUAUUGGUCAAUGGACGAAAGUCUGAACCAGCCAUGCCGCGUGAAGGAUGAAGGCCCUCUGGGUUGUAAACUUCUUUUAUAGGGGACGAAAAAAGGGCAUUCUUGCUCACUUGACGGUACCCUAGGAAUAAGCACCGGCUAACUCCGUGCCAGCAGCCGCGGUAAUACGGAGGGUGCAAGCGUUAUCCGGAUUUACUGGGUUUAAAGGGUGCGUAGGUGGGUUGGUAAGUCAGCGGUGAAAUCUUCGAGCUUAACUCGGAAACUGCCAUUGAUACUAUCAAUCUUGAAUCAUCUAGAGGUAAGCGGAAUAUGUCAUGUAGCGGUGAAAUGCUUAGAUAUGACAUAGAACACCAAUUGCGAAGGCAGCUUACUAUGGAUGUAUUGACACUGAGGCACGAAAGCGUGGGGAUCAAACAGGAUUAGAUACCCUGGUAGUCCCACGACCUAACCUAUGUAUACUCGUACAUUGUCGAUAUACUGUAGUAGUNUGNGNGAAGAGAUAAGUAUACCACCGUCGGAAGGUAAGUAGUCGCGAGAGUUAGUUAAACGUACGAAUUAGAGUUAGACGGGCGUUGAGACGUUCGCCGACGGACGACCGACGAGGGGAGGUUAGG